GAUGAAGACGUAGCGAAAUGCGAUAAGUAAUGUGAAUUGCAGAAUUCAGUGAAUCAUCGAGUCUUUGAACGCACAUUGCGCCCCCUGGUAUUCCGGGGGGCAUGCCUGUCCGAGCGUCAUUGCUGCCCUCAAGCACGGCUUGUGUGUUGGGCCCCCGCCCCCCGGCUUCGGGGGGCGGGCCCGAAAGGCAGCGGCGGCACCGCGUCCGGUCCUCGAGCGUAUGGGGCUUCGUCACCCGCUCUGUAGGCCCGGCCGGCGCCCGCCGGCGACCCCAAUCAAUCUUUCCAGGUUGACCUCGGAUCAGGUAGGGAUACCCGCUGAACUUAAGCAUAUCAAUAAGCGGAGGA
rnacentral:misc_RNA from 1 species